UACGUAGGGUGCAAGCGUUAAUCGGAAUUACUGGGCGUAAAGCGUGCGCAGGCGGUUCGGAAAGAGAGGUGUGAAAUCCCAGGGCUUAACCUUGGAACUGCACUUCUAACUACCGGGCUAGAGUACGUCAGAGGGGGGUAGAAUUCCACGUGUAGCAGUGAAAUGCGUAGAGAUGUGGAGGAAUACCGAUGGCGAAGGCAGCCCCCUGGUAUGAUACUGACGCUCAUGCACGAAAGCGUGGGGAGCAAACAGG
rnacentral:rRNA from 1 species